AUUGAACGCUGGCGGAAUGCUUUACACAUGCAAGUCAAACGGCAGCACGGACUUCGGUCUGGUGGCGAGUGGCGAACGGGUGAGUAAUGUAUCGGAACGUGCCCAGUCGUGGGGGAUAACGUAGUGAAAAUUACGCUAAUACCGCAUACGAUCUAUGGAUGAAAGCGGGGGAUCGCAAGACCUCGCGCGAUUGGAGCGGCCGAUAUCAGAUUAGGUAGUUGGUGGGGUAAAGGCCCACCAAGCCAACGAUCUGUAGCUGGUCUGAGAGGACGACCAGCCAGACUGGAACUGAGACACGGUCCAGACUCCUACGGGAGGCAGCAGUGGGGAAUUUUGGACAAUGGGCGAAAGCCUGAUCCAGCCAUUCCGCGUGCAGGAUGAAGGCCCUCGGGUUGUAAACUGCUUUUGUACAGAACGAAAAGGUUUCUACUAAUACUAGGAGCUCAUGACGGUACUGUAAGAAUAAGCACCGGCUAACUACGUGCCAGCCGCCGCGGUAA
rnacentral:rRNA from 1 species